CCAAGUGUCAAAUCCUCGCCGUUGCUUGCCGUGGGUAGCCGCCUCUCGCAUCCUCGCCGUCCCUUCGCCAUUGCUUGCCAUGGAGGAAGAGGAAGAGGAAGAGGAAGAGGGAAGGGGAAGGGGAGUAGAAAGACCUAAAACUACCAACAAAUGAAGAAAUCCAUAAUUAAGAGAAUAUUAAUGUUUGGAGAUAUUGAUGUAUUAAACAUCAUUUUUUGAACAUAUGGAUAUAUUGAUGUAUUUGUAAACAUCAUUUUAUGAAUUACAUGUGGAGUUGUUGAUGUAUUAAUAUUAUUUUGUGAACAUGUGGAGAUGUUGUUGUAUUUGUAAACAUCAUUUUACAUGUUAAUGUAUUUGUAAACAUUUUUGUGGAGAUA